rnacentral:rRNA from 1 species
AGAGUUUGAUCCUGGCUCAGGACGAACGCUGGCGGCGUGCCUAACACAUGCAAGUCGAGCGGAGACAGUGAGUAGCUUGCUAUGAGCUGUUUUAGCGGCGGACGGGUGAGUAACGCGUGAGCAACCUUUCCCAGACAGGGGAAUAACACACCGAAAGGUGUACUAAUACCGCAUAAGACCACGGGAUCACAUGGUUCUGGGGUAAAAGAUUUAUCGGUUUGGGGUGGGCUCGCGUCCGAUUAGGUAGUUGGUGAGGUAACGGCCCACCAAGCCGACGAUCAGUAGCCGGACUGAGAGGUUGAACGGCCACAUUGGGACUGAGAUACGGCCCAGACUCCUACGGGAGGCAGCAGUGGGGAAUAUUGGGCAAUGGGCGCAAGCCUGACCCAGCAACGCCGCGUGAAGGAAGAAGGCUUUCGGGUUGUAAACUUCUUUUGUCAGGGACGAGUAGAAGACGNNNNNNNNCGAAUAAGCCACGGCUAACUACGUGCCAGCAGCCGCGGUAAGAACUCCUGU